rnacentral:rRNA from 1 species
GAUGAACGCUAGCUACAGGCUUAACACAUGCAAGUCGAGGGACCGGCGCACGUGUGAGUAACACGUAUCCCACCUGCCCUUUACUCGGGGAUAGCCUUUCGAAAGAAAGAUUAAUACCCGACGUAAAGUAUUGGGAUGCGUUCCAUUAGUUUGUUGGUAAGGUAACGGCUGACCAAGCCUUCGAUGGAUAGGGGUUCGGAGAGGAAGGUCCACAACAUUGGAACUGAGACACGGUCCAAACGCCUACGGGAGGCAGCAGUGAGGAAUAUUGGGCAAUGGGCGUUAGCCUGAACCAGCCAAGUAGCGUGAAGGAUGAAGGCUUAUGGGUCGUAAACUUCUGUUAUAUAAGAAGAUGUAUUAGAUGAAUAAGGAUCGGCUAACUCCGUGCCAGCCGCCGCGGUAAUAC